GCUUGUCUCAAAGAUUAAGCCAUGCAUGUCUUAGUGUAAAUAACUCUUAUGAAACUGCGAAUGGCUCAUUAAAACAGUUAUCGUUUAUUUGGUGGUUGUUUACUACACGGAUAACCUUGGUAAUUCUAAAGCUAAUACAUGCGCACAAGCCUGACUUAUUGGAAAGGCUGCUUUUAUUAGAUACAGAACCAACCCAGGUUCGCCUGGACUUUGGCGAGUCAUGAUAACCGAGCGAAUGGCAUGGCAUCUGCUGGCGAUGUACCAUUCAAGUUUCUGACCUAUCAGCUUCCGACGGUAGGGUAUUGGCCUACCGUGGCAAUGACGGGUAGCGGAGAAUUAGGGUUCGAUUCCGGAGAGGGAGCCUGAGAAACGGCUACCACAUCUAAGGAAGGCAGCAGG
rnacentral:rRNA from 1 species